rnacentral:lncRNA from 1 species
UCGAAUCAAAUAGGAUAUAGGUUAAAACUGGUUGUACAAUAAGGUUUCUUCAUAAUUUUCAUUUUUUGAUGCAAACAUCAAUACUUAUCUAGGCAAAGAGGCUCCGUUACUUGAUGAAAAGUGCUCGAAACAAAAUUUAUUCAAUAUAUGUUUUCUUCAUAUUUUUUUUAAUUAUUCAAUGAAGGAAUUUUUGCAUACAUGAACAUAUUACACUUGUACACAUAAGAAGUAGAUUCUUUUUUUUAUGCUAAUAGGGAG